GUCGAGCGGAGUUGAUCGACGGAAGCCUUCGGGCGGAAGAUGAUUAACUUAGCGGCGGAUGGGUGAGUAACGCGUGGGCAACCUGCCUCGAAGACCGGGAUAACAGUUCGAAAGGGCUGCUAAUACCGGAUGUGGUCAAGUGUCAGCAUGGGCAUUUGAUUAAAGGGGAAACCCGUUUCGAGAUGGGCCCGCGUCCUAUCAGCUAGUUGGUGAGGUAAAGGCUCACCAAGGCAAUGACGGGUAGCCGGCCUGAGAGGGUGACCGGCCACACUGGAACUGAGACACGGUCCAGACUCCUACGGGGGGCAGCAGUGGGGAAUCUUCCACAAUGGGCGAAAGCCUGAUGGAGCGACGCCGCGUGAGCG
rnacentral:rRNA from 1 species